rnacentral:misc_RNA from 1 species
UUUCCGUAGGUGAACCUGCGGAAGGAUCAUUCAUAAUAAAGUGUUUUAUGGCACUUUUUAAAAAUCCAUAUCCACCUUGUGUGCAAUGUUAGAUCUCGUCAAUCUUGGCGAGAUUUUUAUACAUCAACUCAUUCUUUAACUAAUUUGUCUGAAAAAUAUUAUGAAUACUUAAUUCAAAAUACAACUUUCAACAACAGAUCUCUUGGCUCUCACAUCGAUGAAGAACGCAGC